UGAGGGAGUAAUAGAAUGGCUGGGAGGGGCUGUAGAAGAAGAUGCCACGAAGCUAUAAACAUGACUGGGUAUGUCAUUGUGCUAUUGUGGUGCGCUUUAUUAUCAGUAGAUACAGAAGCCAAGGGUUGGCUCUCCCAGGAUGCAGCAUGACUUCUUUCCUUUUUUCUUCACUGGCCUGUUGGACCAGAGAUUCAUGAAGACGAGAUUCCCCAUCUGCUUGAUCCAAAAGUCAGAGAAUGAAAGACAGGUCAACUAAUUGGCUAGGGCUCAGCUGGAUGGUUCUUCUGCUGAUCUUACUUUGGAUAACUCACGUUACCACCAUGAUUUGAAACUGUUGGAGCUGGAUGGUCUAGAUGGUCUCACCCAUAUGUCUGGAAAUGGGUGCAGGCUGUUGGCUGAACUGCUCAUCUCUAACAGGCUGCAUGACCCACAUCACAGGAGAGGAAGGUUCCAGAACAACGUCUAGGGUACAAGUACUUUGGUGUCAGAAGCUAUCCUUUGACCUAGAGCUCAGCCUAGAGUGAAGGAUGAGCCACUUCUCACCUGGGAGACCACUUUGGACCUGAGCAACUGGACACACACGCCAGAAGGCUCCCCUCCUCCUUCCCACUCCAAACUUGCAAGGCAAGAGGCUGCUUUGAUCUUGGACCCUCCGCAGAAAAUCUCCCUUGGCAAGCCCAGCCACGACAGCUGGGCUCCGUGAUGGCAACUUUCUGUAGACAACGUUGAAAAAAAUCUAAACGCCAAGUCCUCCGGAGAAGAGUUGAUGAGGGAA